AGAGUUUGAUCAUGGCUCAGAACGAACGCUGGCGGCGUGGCUAAAGCAUGCAAGUCGAACGGAUUGCAUUGAGUGGUAACAUUGAAUGCAGUUAGUGGCGAAAGGGUGAGUAACGCGUGGAUAACGUACCCUGAACACGAGGAUAGCUAGUCGAAAGAUUAGGUAAUACUCGAUGAAGUCCGAGAGUCUCCUGACUCUUUGACCAAAGGAUGGCCUCUAUUUAUAAGCUAUCGGUUUUGGAGCGGUUCGCGUCCUAUCAGCUUGUUGGUGAGGUAACGGCUCACCAAGGCUAAGACGGGUAGCUGGUCUGAGAGGACGACCAGCCACAUCGGGACUGAGACACUGCCCGGACCUCCACGGAGGGCUGCAGCAACGAAUAUUCCGCAAUGCGCGAAAGCGUGACGGAGCGACGCCGCGUGUAGGAUGAAGCCCCUCGGGGUGUAAACUACUGUCAGGUUUAAGCAACCAAUGGGCUCGAAUAGAACCCGGCGAUGAGCUAUACCAGAGGAAGCCACGGCUAACUCUGUGCCAGCAGCCGCGGUAAGACAGAGGUGGCAAGCGUUGUUCGGAAUCACUGGGCUUAAAGGGUGUGUAGGCGGUUCAGAAAGCGUCCUGUGAAAGCUCCAAGCUCAACUUGGGAAUUGCAGGACGAACUGCUGAACUUGAGGCGUGUAGAGGUCAGCGGAACUCUGGGUGGAGCGGUGAAAUGCGUAGAUAUCCAGGGGAACGCCAAUGGCGAAGGCAGCUGGCUGGGCACGUCCUGACGCUGAGGCACGAAAGCGUGGGGAGCGAGCGGGAUUAGAUACCCCGGUAGUCCACGCCCUAAACGAUGUACACUAGCUUCAGGCACUUCUGACAGUGUCUGAAGCGUAGGAAAACCGUUAAGUGUACCGCCUGGGGAGUACGGUCGCAAGAUUAAAACUCAAAGGAAUUGACGG
rnacentral:rRNA from 1 species